CGCUGUUCAGAUAAGCCAUGCAUGUCUCAGUAUAAGCUUCUACACGGCGAAACUGCGAAUGGCUCAUUAAAACAGUUAUCGUUUAUUUGGUGGUCUUUCAUUACAUGGAUAACCAUGGUAAUUCUGGAGCUAAUACAUGCGCCCAGACCCGACUUCGUGGAAGGGUUGUGUUUAUUAGGUACAGAACCAACCCAGGCUCUGCCUGGUCCUUUGGUGAUUCAUGAUAACCGAACGAAUCGCAUGGCAUCAGCUGGCGAUGAAUCAUUCAAGUUUCUGACCUAUCAGCUUCCGACGGUAGGGUAUUGGCCUACCGUGGCAAUGACGGGUAACGGAGAAUUAGGGUUCGAUUCCGGAGAGGGAGCCUGACAAACCGCUACCACGUCUAAGGAAGGCAGCAAGCUCUCAAAUAACCCGAUACGGAGACGGGGAGGUAUUGAUAAUAGUGGCCGACUGGGCAUCCAUGUUUUUUCAAUCAAA
rnacentral:rRNA from 1 species